rnacentral:lncRNA from 1 species
AGAAGAGUGACUACAACUCGCAUGCUACUCCUCCUACACCGUUUAAGCUAGAAACGCUGUUCCAAUGGUCUCGAUCGUGUUGCUUGUAUACAACUUUUUGAUAUGUUAUACUUUUUCCGUUAUUCACUUUGUCCUCUUUAUCUCUUCCAUCCGUUUUCAUGGGAUUUCUCAAGAUUCUAAAGCUUCGCAUUGUGACAUCCUUACUACCAAUGGCAAUUCUCUCACCAUGCGUCCCACUGGAUCUGGCAUGUGAGCUUCAUGAGAACCACAUGAACGCCAAGAAAGAAGCUACAGCCAUCAAGCAGGCAGCAGUUCCUGCUCUCCCUAUUCCCCAAGCACCACAGCUCCCACUUGGGAAAAAUAAGAUACAAUGUCAAGUAGGCAGGUGCACAGGAAACAAGGC